CAGAGGGUGCAAGCGUUAAUCGGAAUUACUGGGCGUAAAGCGAGCGUAGGUGGCUUGAUAAGUCAGAUGUGAAAGCCCCGGGCUUAACCUGGGAACGGCAUCUGAUACUGUUAGGCUAGAGUAGGUGAGAGGAAGGUAGAAUUCCAGGUGUAGCGGUGAAAUGCGUAGAGAUCUGGAGGAAUACCGAUGGCGAAGGCAGCCUUCUGGCAUCAUACUGACACUGAGGUUCGAAGCGUGGGUAGCAAACAGGAUU
rnacentral:rRNA from 1 species